AGCGAACGCUGGCGGCAGGCCUAACACAUGCAAGUCGAGCGGCCGUAGCAAUACGGCAGCGGCAGACGGGAGAGUAACACGUGGGAACGCGCCCUUCGGUUCGGGAUAACUCAGGGAAACUUGGGCUAAUACCGGAUACGCCCUUACGGGGAAAGAUUUAUUGCCGAAGGAGCGGCCCGCGUCCGAUUAGCUUGUUGGUGAGGUAACGGCUCACCAAGGCGACGAUCGGUAGCUGGUCUGAGAGGAUGACCAGCCUCACUGGGACUGAGACACGGCCUAGACUCCUACGGGAGGCAGCAGUGGGGAAUAUUGGACAAUGGGCGCAAGCCUGAUCCAGCCAUGCCGCGUGGGUGAUGAAGGCCCUAGGGUUGUAAAGCCCUUUCAGCGGGGAAGAUAAUGACGGUACCCGCAGAAGAAGCCCCGGCUAACUUCGUGCCAGCAGCCGCGGUAACAC
rnacentral:rRNA from 1 species